AACCAAUGAUGAUACUAGAUUCUGCCAAAUGACUGCUCAUGAUAUUAACAUCAUUCCGUUCCAUUUACUGAGGUU